rnacentral:piRNA from 1 species
UAAUUUCCUUUGGAGACUUUGGUAGCUUU